rnacentral:rRNA from 1 species
AUUGAACGCUGGCGGCAGGCCUAACACAUGCAAGUCGAACGAGUGGCGGACGGGUGAGUAAUGUCUGGGAAACUGCCCGAUGGAGGGGGAUAACUACUGGAAACGGUAGCUAAUACCGCAUACCAUCGGAUGUGCCCAGAUGGUAUUAGCUAGUAGGGGGGGUAACGGCUCACCUAGGCGACGGUCCCUAGCUGGGCUGGGAGUAUGAACAGCCACACUGGAACUGAGACACGUUCCAGACGCCUACUGGAGGCAGCAGUGGGUAAUAUUGCACAAUGGGCGAAAUCCUGAUGCAGCCAUGCCGCGUGUAUGAAGAAGGCCUUCGGGUUGUAAAGUACUUUCAGCGAGGAGGCGUUACUCGCAGAAGAAGCACCGGCUAACUCCGUGCCAGCAGCCGCGGUAAUAC